CCACCCUUUGUUUACUAUACCUUUGUUGCUUUGGCGGGCCCGUCUCGUGACCGCCGGCUUCGGCUGGCCCGCGCCCGCCAGAGGACCACAAACUCUGAUUAUCAUGCCGUCUGAGUAUUACACAAAUACGUUAAAACUUUCAACAACGGAUCUCUUGGUUCUGGCAUCGAUGAAGAACGCAGCGAAAUGCGAUAAGUAAUGUGAAUUGCAGAAUUCAGUGAAUCAUCGAAUCUUUGAACGCACAUUGCGCCCUCUGGUAUUCCGGGGGGCAUGCCUGUUCGAGCGUCAUUACAACCCUCAAGCUCUGCUUGGUGUUGGGCGGUACCGCGCGCGGUACGCCUCAAACGUAGUGGCGGCGCCGUUCGGCUCCUAGCGUAGUAACAACUCUCGCUAUGGGGACCGGGCGGUUGCCUGCCAGCAACCCACACUU
rnacentral:rRNA from 1 species